GAACGAGAACGUCCCUUCGGGGAGCAAGUAAAGUGGCGUACUGGUGAGUAACACGUGGGUUAUCUGCCCUUUGGUGGGGAAUAACUUUGGGAAACCGAAGCUAAUACCGCAUAAGCCCGAAAGGGGAAAGGCUUCGGCCGCCGAAGGAGGAGCCCGCGGCCGAUUAGCUUGUUGGUAGGGUAAUGGCCUACCAAGGCAUCGAUCGGUAGCCGGCCUGAGAGGGCGCACGGCCACACUGGCACUGAAACACGGGCCAGACUCCUACGGGAGGCAGCAGUAGGGAAUCUUGCACAAUGGGGGAAACCCUGAUGCAGCGACGCCGCGUGAGCGAUGAAGCCCCUCGGGGUGUAAAGCUCUUUCAGCAGGGACGAAAUUGACGGUACCUGCAGAAGAAGCUGCGACUAACUACGUGCCAGCAGCCGCGGUAAUACGUANGCAGCGAGCGUUGUUCGGAGUUACUGGGCGUAAAGCGUGUGUAGGCGGGUUUGCAAGUUCGGUGUGAAAUCUCCCGGCUUAACCGGGAGCCUGCGCCGAAAACUGCAAGUCUUGA
rnacentral:rRNA from 1 species